rnacentral:rRNA from 1 species
CCUACGGGAGGCAGCAGUGAGGAAUAUUGGUCAAUGGACGAGAGUCUGAACCAGCCAAGUAGCGUGAAGGAUGACUGCCCUAUGGGUUGUAAACUUCUUUUAUAAAGGACUAAAACGAGGCACGUGUGCCUUUUUGCAUGUACUUUAUGAAUAAGGAUCGGCUAACUCCGUGCCAGCAGCCGCGGUAAUACGGAGGAGCCGAGCGUUAUCCGGAUUUAUUGGGUUUAAAGGUAGCGUAGAUGGGAUGUUAAGUAAGUUGUAAAAGUUUGCGGCUCAACCGUAGAAGUGCAAUUGAUACUGGCAGUCUUGAGUACAGUUGAGGUAGGCGGAAGGCGUGGUGUAGCGGUGAAAUGCAUAGAUAUCACGAAGAACCCCGAUUGCGAAGGCAGCUUACUAAACUGUGACUGACAUUGAUGCUCGAAAGUGUGGGUAUCAAACAGGAUUAGAUACCCCAGUAGUC